rnacentral:rRNA from 1 species
UGGGGAAUUUUGGACAAUGGGGGAAACCCUGAUCCAGCCAUCCCGCGUGUGCGAUGAAGGCCUUCGUGUUGUAAAGCACUUUUGGCAGGAAAGAAACGUCAUGGGUUAAUACCCCGUGAAACUGACGGUACCUGCAGAAUAAGCACCGGCUAACUACGUGCCAGCAGCCGCGGUAAUACGUAGGGUGCAAGCGUUAAUCGGAAUUACUGGGCGUAAUGCGUGCGCAGGCGGUUCGGAAAGAAAGAUGUGAAAUCCCAGAGCUCAACUUUGGAACAGCAGUUUUGACUACCGGGCUAGGGUGUGUCAGAGGGAGGAGGAAUUCCGCGUGUAGCAGUGAAAUGCGUAGAUAUGCGGAGGAACACCGAUGGCGAAGGCAGCCGCCUGGGAUAACACUGACGCUCAUGCACGAAAGCGUGGGGAGCAAACAGG